UAGGGAAUCUUCCGCAAUGGACGCAAGUCUGACGGAGCAACGCCGCGUGAGUGAAGAAGGAUUUCGGUUCGUAAAACUCUGUUGUUAGAGAAGAACAGCGCAUAGAGUAACUGUUAUGCGUGUGACGGUAUCUAACCAGAAAGCCACGGCUAACUACGUGCCAGCAGCCGCGGUAAUACGUAGGUGGCAAGCGUUAUCCGGAAUUAUUGGGCGUAAAGCGCGCGUAGGCGGUUUUUUAAGUCUGAUGUGAAAGCCCACGGCUCAACCGUGGAGGGUCAUUGGAAACUGGUUGACUUGAGUGCAGAAGAGGAGAGUGGAAUUCCAUGUGUAGCGGUGAAAUGCGUAGAUAUAUGGAGGAACACCAGUGGCGAAGGCGACUCUCUGGUCUGUAACUGACGCUGAGGCUCGAAAGCGUGGGUAGCAAACAGG
rnacentral:rRNA from 1 species